CUACGGGUCGCUGCAGUGAGGAAUAUUGCACAAUGGGGGGAACCCUGAUGCAGCAACGCCGCGUGGAGGAUGACGCAUUUCGGUGUGUAAACUCCUUUUAUAUGUCAAGAAAAUGACGGUAGCAUAUGAAUAAGCACCGGCUAACUCCGUGCGCAGGCAGCCGCGGUAAUACGGAGGGUGCAAGCGUUACUCGGAAUCACUGGGCGUAAAGGGCGCGUAGGCGGGUUGGAAAGUCAGGUGUGAAAUCCUACAGCUUAACUGUAGAAGUGCACUUGAAACUUCUAAUCUAGAGUAUGGGAGGGGGAGAUGGAAUUAGUGGUGUGGGGGUAAAAUCCGUAGAUAUCACUAGGAAUACCUAAAGCGAGGGCGAUCUCCUGGAACAUUACUGACGCUAAGGCGUGAAAGCGUGGGGAGCAAACAGGAUUAGAUACCCGUGUAGUC
rnacentral:rRNA from 1 species